CAAGGAAGGCAGCAGGCGCGCAAAUUACCCACUCCCGGCACGGGGAGGUAGUGACGAAAAAUAACGAUACGGGACUCAUCCGAGGCCCCGUAAUCGGAAUGAGUACACUUUAAAUCCUUUAACGAGGAUCUAUUAGAGGGCCAGUCUGGUGCCAGCAGCCGCGGUAAUUCCAGCUCUAAUAGCGUAUAUUAAAGUUGUUGCGGUUAAAAAGCUCGUAGUUGAAUCUGUGUCCCACACUGUCGGUUCACCGCUCGCGGUGUUCAACUGGCAUGUCUGUGGGACGUCCUACCGGUGGGCUUAGCCCGUCAAAAGGCGGCCCAACUCAAAAUCCUACCACGGUGCUCUUCACCGAGUGUCGAGGUGGGCCGGUACGUUUACUUUGAACAAAUUAGAGUGCUUAAAGCAGGCUCAUUCGCCUGAAUAUUGUGUGCAUGGAAUAAUGGAAUAGGACCUCGGUUCUAUUUUGUUGGUUUUCGGAAUUCCGAGGUAAUGAUUAAUAGGGACAACUGGGGGCAUUCGUAUUGCGACGUUAGAGGUGAAAUUCUUGGAUCGUCGCAAGACGGACAGAAGCGAAAGCAUUUGCCAAAUGUGUUUUCAUCAAUCAAGAACGAAAGUUAGAGGUUCGAAGGCGAUCAGAUACCGCCCUAGUUCUAACCAUAAACGAUGCCAGCUAGCGAUCCGCCGAAGUUCCUCCGAUGACUCGGCGGGCAGCUUCCGGGAAACCAAAGCUUUUGGGUUCCGGGGGAAGUAUGGUUGCAAAGCUGAAACUUAAAGGAAUUGACGGAAGGGCACUACAAGGAGUGGAGCCUGCGGCUUAAUUUGACUCAACACGGGAAACCUCACCAGGUCCGGACACCGGAAGGAUUGACAGAUUGAGAGCUCUUUCUUGAUUCGGUGGGUGGUGGUGCAUGGCCGUUCUUAGUUGGUGGAGCGAUUUGUCUGGUUAAUUCUGAUAACGAACGAGACUCUAGCCUGCUAAAUAGGCGUACUUUCCGGUAUCGCAAAGACCCUCCGCUUCGGCUUCGGUCGUUGUUGGUUGUGGUUCUUACUACCGGCGUACAAAUAUAUCUUCUUAGAGGGACAGGUGGCAUUUAGUCGCACGAAAUUGAGCAAUAACAGGUCUGUGAUGCCCUUAGAUGUUCUGGGCCGCACGCGCGCUACACUGAAGAGAUCAGCAGGUUUUCCUUGGCCGAAAGGUCCGGGUAAUCCGUUGAAGCCUCUUCGUGCUAGGGAUUGGGGCUUGCAAUUCUUCCCCAUGAACGAGGAAUUCCUAGUAAGCGCGAGUCAUAAGCUUGCGUUGAUUACGUCCCUGCCCUUUGUACACACCGCCCGUCGCUACUACCGAUUGAAUUAUUUAGUGAGGUCUUCGGACCGGUGCGCGGCAGCGUUUCGACAUUGCCGAUGUUGCUGGGAAGAUGACCAAACUUGAUUAUUUAGAGGAAGUAAAAGUCGUAACAAGGUUUCC
rnacentral:rRNA from 1 species